GUAGAGGAUGCUUCUGGGCAGCCUCCGGUCUAAGUUCCUUGGAACAGGACGUCAUAGAGGGUGAGAAUCCCGUAUGCGACCGGUCGGCACCCUCCACGUAGCUCCUUCGACGAGUCGAGUUGUUUGGGAAUGCAGCUCUAAAUGGGAGGUAAAUUUCUUCUAAAGCUAAAUACCGGCCAGAGACCGAUAGCGCACAAGUAGAGUGAUCGAAAGAUGAAAAGCACUUUGGAAAGAGAGUUAAAAAGCACGUGAAAUUGUUGAAAGGGAAGCGCUUGCAACCAGACUUGCCUGCGGUGUUCAGCCGGUCUUCUGACCGGUCCAUUCGCCGCCUGCAGGCCAGCAUCAUCUGCGGCCGCCGGAUAAAGGUGGUGGGAAAGUGGCCCCCUCGGGGGUGUUAUAGCCCACCUCAGAAUACGGCGCGUCGCGGGUGAGGUCCGCGCUUCGGCCAGGAUGCUGGCGUAAUGGUUGUAAGCGGCCCGUCUUGAAACACGGACCAAGGAGUCUAACAUCUAUGCGAGUGUUCGGGUGUCAAACCCCUACGCGUAAUGAAAGUGAACGGAGGUGGGAACUUUUUGUGCACCAUCGACCGAUCUUGAUGUCUUCGGAUGGAUUUGAGUAAGAGCAUAGCUGUUGGGACCCGAAAGAUGGUGAACUAUGCCUGAAUAGGGUGAAGCCAGAGGAAACUCUGGUGGA
rnacentral:rRNA from 1 species